rnacentral:lncRNA from 1 species
AUGUUUGAUCACCAGCAAAAGUUGGAUAUAACUUGUGAAUAUUGUGAGUUAAGUCUUGCAUACAUCAAGUGAAGAACACAAAUGCACUAUACAAAAUCUUGAGGUACUGAGAAGGACUCAAGGUAGAUGAUUAUUAUUCUCAAAAGUCAAAACAUAAUAAUACUUUUAUUGAAACAUACCCUUAUUCUUAUUGUCUAGGUGAUCAAGAGAUUAAUUAGAAAAUCUAUACAUCUAGUUAUUUUAUUUUUGUGGAGGGGAAUCUUGCUACUUGGACAAGCAAGAAAUUAACAAAAGUUUGUGACAAGAUCAAGUGCAAAAAUUGAGUUUCGAGGUAUGGCUCAUGGUGUAUGUGAAUUGUUGUGGAUUAUGCUUUUUUUUUGAAUUAUUUAGGGAUUAAUCAUGCAAAAAGAAAUAGUUCUUUAUUAAGAUAAUAAUAGGUUGGAAAUCAUUUGCACUCUUUAAUUUUGAUUUAAAAAUCAAACUUCCCCCUUCUCCCCUUCCCUUCUCAAAUUUGAAAAUAAUCACUCCCUCUUUAUCCUAUGCAAAAUCUAUUUUACCCUUGUCAUUUUUUAUUCUUCAUUUAUAUAACAUCUUCUUAUACUAUACAUAAUACUUUAUUUUCUUAACCUAUGCAUUUAUAGAUGUUUAUUUAAGUUCAUUAGCAUUAUAAGUAGAAUAAUCUAUCAUCAGCAAAUUUUGAAACUCUAUCUAGCAAUUCUCAACAGGCUAUACACUAGAGAUCGAUUGUUGAAGUGGAAGUUGAUGGAUCAGAAUAUCUUCCCUUCGAGUGAAGCACAACAGGAAUCAACUGAUCACUUGUUCUUUAAAAUAUUCCUUUUCCGUUGUUGUUUGGAACAUGCUCAUGCGCGGGCAAGUACAUAAUAGGAACACAAUGGAAUUGACAAAGUUAGUGCAUGCGUUGGAUGCUCUCAAGGAAAAUUAAUAGAAAGGAUGCACAUGCUGAACUAUUUAGGAUUAUUGUAGCUGGUGUAGUGUAUAAAACAUGAAUGGAAAGGAACAGUCGAGUCUUUUGGACCAAGAAGAUAAACCAUUCGAUUCUCUGAAGGAAAAUUAUUCAGAUGGUGGUGAUGCGAGGUAGUUUAAAGGCCAAGUUAGCUAGUCGAAUUGCGGAACCAAUUAAUUACUAUCCUUGAAGUACUAUAGCUCAUGUGUAGUUGCUUAACUGGUGGUAUGUUGGGACUAUGUCCAACAAACCAGAUACACGUACAUGAUUCCCUACUUUGGUAUAUCAUUAGUCUAUAUUACCCCAAAAAAAAAGUUUGUUGUAAAAUCUAAUGUUAUUUUUUUAUGAUUGUUAUUUUAAUAUUACAUCCACU